rnacentral:rRNA from 1 species
CAGUCGCCACGGUAAUACGUAGGUCCCGAGCGUUGUCCGGAUUUAUUGGGCGUAAAGCGAGCGCAGGCGGUUAGAUAAGUCUGAAGUUAAAGGCUGUGGCUUAACCAUAGUACGCUUUGGAAACUGUUUAACUUGAGUGCAAGAGGGGAGAGUGGAAUUCCAUGUGUAGCGGUGAAAUGCGUAGAUAUAUGGAGGAACACCGGUGGCGAAAGCGGCUCUCUGGUUUGUAACUGACGCUGAGGCUCGAAAGCGUGGGGAGCAAACAGGAUUAGAUACCCGCGUAGUCCCUGUCUCUUAUACC